GAAUCUCUUCCCCAUCGCUAUUUUCUCACCACCUCACCGCCUCCGACCGCCCACACCUCAGUAGUCAGUCCUAAGGCCGAUUCUCUCACGCCUAAACCUAAGGCCGAUUCUCUCACGCCUAAACCUAUGGCCGAUUCUCUCACGCCUAAACCUAUGGCCGAUUCUCUCACGCCUAAACCUAUGGCCGAUUCUCUGCAUUACUUCUAAAACUAAGGCCGAUUCUCUCACGCUCUCAGAACAUCAUCGACUUAAUUUCUGCUAUUCUCUCCGCAUUCAGCAGUGCACCACCGUCUGGACCCGCCGGCGGCAUUCUCGUCUUUGUCAGUGGCAAUCUCCAGCGAACAACACCCCCUCAAGACAUUGAUCACAGAUUACAAAUGCACUCAUCUUUGGUACAAAGGCUGUCUUUAGAAAGAGAAUUAGAGGAACCCGAACUUGUUUAAGUUGCAGAGGAUAAUUAUUAUUCAUCAUCAAAAGAGAAGAGAAGAAGAAAUUAAAAAGGUUCAAAUGCAAGCUGAAAGAACUCAAAUGCAGGUUCAAAUGUAAGCUCAAAUUGCAAGCUUGAUGAAUGAGUUGCGUCGCAAUGGCAUGUUAUCCAAUCCAAGUACUCAAGCUCAACAUUCGGCUAAUUCAAAUGAUGAAAUCUUAGGAGAUGAUUAAGAUUAUGUUUAUUAAUAUAUUUGGUACUGGUUCUAAUGAUGUAACAUUAUACUACAACACUUUUGUUGUUGCUAUUCACUUUGAAUG